rnacentral:rRNA from 1 species
CCUACGGGGGGCAGCAGUGAGGAAUAUUGGUCAAUGGACGAGAGUCUGAACCAGCCAAGUAGCGUGAAGGAUGACUGCCCUAUGGGUUGUAAACUUCUUUUAUAUGGGAAUAAAAUGUUCCACGUGUGGGAUUUUGUAUGUACCAUAUGAAUAAGGAUCGGCUAACUCCGUGCCAGCAGCCGCAGUAAUACGGAGGAUCCGAGCGUUAUCCGGAUUUAUUGGGUUUAAAGGGAGCGUAGGUGGAUUGUUAAGUCAGUUGUGAAAGUUUGCGGCUCAACCGUAAAAUUGCAGUUGAAACUGGCAGUCUUGAGUACAGUAGAGGUGGGCGGAAUUCGUGGUGUAGCGGUGAAAUGCUUAGAUAUCACGAAGAACUCCGAUUGCGAAGGCAGUUCACUGGACUGCAACUGACACUGAGGCUCGAAAGUGUGGGUAUCAAACAGGAUUAGAUACCCGGGUAGUC